AUAAUCUCUUUACAGGAAGUAGUCCGGGGUGCGACGGGUAACAUGCGGUUCACCUCUGCGCGGCGCUGGAUCAAACUGCAAACUGAAAAGCACACGUGUUAAUGAAAGCAUUCGGGUUGCAUUCAGAAAAAGAGAAAGAAGAAUGUCACCACAGCGUACAACAUCUUCCUAGUAAGCAAUAAACUAGUCCAUUAAAAAACAGCAAAAAUUCUCCACUGCAUUGUUAAAAAAUUAAAAUACCAAUUUUGAAUUACAGAAUUAAUCUUUAA